UUUGGGAAAUGAUGCUAAAAGAUAUCGAUUUAUAUCAUAGGCGCAUUAUAAUUAUGUGCUUUGCUGAUCAAAAUCUUAUUUGCACGUCAGUCUGAUCCCAAA
rnacentral:snoRNA from 1 species